GGAUGUGAGGGCGAUCUGGCUGCGACAUCUGUCACCUCAUUGAGCACCAGGGUUGAUUCGGCUGAUCUGGCUGGCUAGGCGGGUAUCCCCUUCCUCCCUCACCGCUCCACGUGUGUCCCUCCCGAAGCUGCGUGCUCAGUCGAAGAGGACGACCUUCCUCAAUAGAGGAGAGGACUGUUCUUCGUUCAAGGGUAUAUUAGUAGCUGUGCUGCCCUGCUAGAACCUCCAAACAAGGGCUCAAAAUGGGAAAUCAUAGGUUAUUCAAUAAAAGAGCAUGUACAAAUAAAUGGAUAGAGACAUGAAACACCAU
rfam:Pteropus alecto contig15828, whole genome shotgun sequence.